UACGGGGGGGGUAAGCGUUGUUCGGAAUUACUGGGCGUAAAGGGCUCGUAGGCGGCCAACUAAGUCGGACGUGAAAUCCCUCAGCUUAACUGGGGAACUGCGUCCGAUACUGGAUGGCUUGGAUUCGGGAGAGGGAUGCGGAAUUCCAGGUGUAGCGGUGAAAUGCGUAGAUAUCUGGAGGAACACCUGUGGUGUAGACAGCUUACUGGACGAUAACUGACGCUGAGGCACGAAAGCGUGGGUAGCAAACAGG
rnacentral:rRNA from 1 species